rnacentral:rRNA from 1 species
AUUGAACGCUGGCGGCAGGCCUAACACAUGCAAGUCGAGCGGAUGAAGGGUGCUUUCUCCUGGUUUCCGCGGCGGACGGGUGUGUAAUGCCUAUGAAUCUGCCUGGUAGUGCUGGAUAACGUCCUCAAACGGGCGCUAAUACCGCCUACGUGCUGCUGCUGCAAGUGGGGGAUCUUCGGACCUCUCGCUCUCAUAUGAGCCUAGGUCGGAUUAGAUAGUUGGUGGGGUGAAGGGCUACCAAGGCGGCGAUCCGCUACUGGACUGAGAGGAUGAUCAGUCACACUGGAACUGAGACACGGUCCAGAGGCCUAAGGGAGGCAGCAGUGGGGAAUAUUGGACAAUAGGCGAAAGCAUGAUCCAGUCAGGGGGAGUGUGUGAAGAAGGUCUUCGGAUUGUAAAGAACUUUAAGGUGGGAGGAAGGGCAGUAAGUUAAUACCUAGCUGUUUUGACGUUACCAACAGAAUAAGCACCGGCUAACUUCGUG